ACGUGCGCUCCUAUCUGGUAAAUUUAAAUAUUCUUUUUUGCCCACAUAAUAUUCAGCACUAUCGAAUCCGGCCUCCUCGCUGCCCUGAGCAGAUCCCCAACCCUUGCAAAUCAGAUUCUGUGUUUCAGAGAGCCGUCUGGGGGAUCUUAAGGGUUUGUUUUUUUUUUUUCUUUUUUUCCCGUCUUUCAACUAAUUUCCUUUAGAAUUCUCCAAACAAGUACACGCCUGCACCAAACUGACACUCGGGGAACUUCCAGUAGGCAAUUUGGGGCCUUGUUUUGGUUGCAAAUGAGGUGGGGCAGACGCCGCGUUCCUUUCCCCGGAGCUGUGCUGCGAAUGGCUCCGAGUUUGCAGGCACCCAGGACGGAACCGAAGCGCCCCAAGCAGACACCUCCUUCCUCAUGAUAUCAUGGGAAUGAGAAGGUCCCCACUGAGGGCCCGCAUGAAUCUGGGCACGACAGGAAAACAAGGAGAUGAGGCAUCUUUCCAGGUAGUUAAACCCGUGUAGAAAACCCCGGUACCUAAUUGACGCUGGAAACUUCAUCUUGGUUCUGACUUGUCAUCACGCCGGCCAGGGGUUCCCCUGUUCACCUGGCAUAUCGGGGCGCAACUCCCGGAACGUUCCAUCAGCAGCUGUCUGUUUGGGAAAGGAAAAGGUCACUCUUUCAGAAGUUUUAUUUACUUUUUGAUUGAGAUAGUGUUGAUUUACAGCAUCAUAUUAGUUUCAUGUGUACAGCAUAGUGAUUCACAAUUUCUUCUUAAAGGUUAUACUCCAUUUAUAGUUAUUAUAAAAUAUUGGCUGUGUUCCCCGUGUUGUACAAUGUAUCCUGCCAGCUUAUUUAUUCUGUACAUAGUUUGUCCCUCUGACUCCCCUACCGUCAUUGUCCUUCCCCCCUUCCCUGCCCCCACUGGUCCCCACCAACUUGUUCUCUGCAUCUGUGAGUCUGCUUCUGUUUUGUUAUAUUCACUCGUUUGUUGUAUCUGUUUAGAUUUCACGUAUAAGUGAUACCACACAGUAUUUGUAUUUCUCUGUCUGAUUUAUAUCACUCAGCAUAAUGCUCCCUCCAGGUCCAUCCAUGUUGCUGCAAAUGGCAUUCUUUUAUUCUUUUUCAUGGUUGAGUAGUAUUCCAUUGUAUAAAUACACCACAUCUCCUUUCUUCAUUCUUCUGCUGAAGGACAUUUAAGUUGCUUCCAUGUCUUGGUGGUUUUAAUAAUGCUGCUAUGAACAUGAAGUGCAUGUUUUUUUUUUUUUUUUGAACCAAAAAUUUGAGCUUAAAGAUCUCGAACUCUGCAUUUUAACUGACACAAGAGCCACUCUUGGGAGAUUCUGACUAGGUCUUUCAGCUUUAAUAAAUGCUUGGACUUUUUAUGGUUUUGGCCUAUGGAGCCAAGCUCAUCUGUUCCAGUUUGCUUAGCAAUAUUGGAAUUUCUGAUUUGCAGGUGGUAACAAAUCAGGCUGGCCGUGCUGCUUCCUUUGGGUGAGAGAGGCGGAUGUCGGAAUGCAGACAUGUCCUCCAGGUGUCCUCUCCCGGAACCAACUUUCUUCGACUUUGGUUUUGAACUUCAAGAAAAGGACAGCCCAGGAUAGAUACGGACGUGUGGUAACAAAUCAGGCUGGCCGUGCUGCUUCCUUUGGGUGAGAGAGGCGGAUGUCGGAAUGCAGACAUGUCCUCCAGGUGUCCUCUCCCGGAACCAACUUUCUUCGACUUUGGUUUUGAACUUCAAGAAAAGGACAGCCCAGGAUAGAUACGGACGUGUGGUAACAAAUCAGGCUGGCCGUGCUGCUUCCUUUGGGUGAGAGAGGCGGAUGUCGGAAUGCAGACAUGUCCUCCAGGUGUCCUCUCCCGGAACCAACUUUCUUCGACUUUGGUUUUGAACUUCAAGAAAAGGACAGCCCAGGAUAGAUACGGACGUGUGGUAACAAAUCAGGCUGGCCGUGCUGCUUCCUUUGGGUGAGAGAGGCGGAUGUCGGAAUGCAGACAUGUCCUCCAGGUGUCCUCUCCCGGAACCAAUUUUCUUCGACUUUGGUUUUGAACUUCAAGAAAAGGACUGCCCAAGAUAAAUACGGACGUGUGGUAACAAAUCAGGCUGGCCGUGCUGCUUCCUUUGGGUGAGAGAGGCGGAUGUCGGAAUGCAGACAUGUCCUCCAGGUGUCCUCUCCCGGAACCAACUUUCUUCGACUUUGGUUUUGAACUUCAAGAAAAGGACAGCCCAGGAUAGAUACGGACGUGUGGUAACAAAUCAGGCUGGCCGUGCUGCUUCCUUUGGGUGAGAGAGGCGGAUGUCGGAAUGCAGACAUGUCCUCCAGGUGUCCUCUCCCGGAACCAACUUUCUUCGACUUUGGUUUUGAACUUCAAGAAAAGGACAGCCCAGGAUAGAUACGGACGUAGAUGCAGGGGAGUCCCCAGGGGGGACCCUGUUUCAUCCGUGGAAAAUGCAAGUGGGGCCGCUACAAGUCCCCGGCGACUGAACGCCCACACCAGCUGCAGAAUCGACGAGGCCGUCCCUUCCUGGAGAUGCAGAUCACGGAGGUGGCUCCCCUCCCAUCCUGUCAGCUCCUGAGCUGGAUGAAGGACACCCAGACAGGUGCGGGCGGCCCGGCCAGACAGCACUGCGUGGAUUUCGGGACGGCGGAGGAUCGAGGGACUCAGAUGCGGCGAGCAGUGAGGCCGUCAGGCAAGACGGACAGCCUUGCGCCAGUUAAGGAUUCAACGGUGUUCGUACGAUGGAUGUCCCCCCCUCCAGCUCCGAUAAGCACCCCGGGGGCAGCACAGGGCCGUCCGUAAAGGGCUUCCAGAGGCAUGCAAGUCCGUGGGGGCAGGGCCCCCGGGAUGGAGAUGGCGAGGAAGUGGACCCUAAGACGGAUUCGUACUUGAGAUGACGCUGGGACGGCGUCUCCUGUCGUCUCCCCUUGAAGGUGAGCUUCGCGGAGCAGGCGUGGUUACCCAUCGGAUUCACUGUGACAUGACCACAUCCAGCCGACACCACGAUGCCCGCAGUGCAGCUGUCAGGAGCGCUCAUCUCAGAAUCGUCCCCGUCGAGGCCAGAUGAGCACCUGACUCCCUUCUCUGCGGCAGGGUGGACCCGUCUCCCAGCCUUUUCCUCCCACAGCCUGAGUGGAGACGCUCCCUGAGGUCUGACCCCAGCGUUUGACCUUCUCUCCCUGAACAGCUCAGCGGAGCCGAUGGCUUCUGCAGUCGAUCGACCACCUUCAUAGUGGAUGCAGCGUCUGGAGGCCCCUCCAACGCAAAGGCAGGCAGGCAGAGGACGACAGAUCCGUGGGGGGACUGGGGAUCGAACCCAGGACCUCAUGCAUGCUGCGCACACAGCACCCCUGCGCUGUGCCCCCUCCCCUCUGCCGUGUAGACGCUCAGGCUGGGGAACUUUGACGGCAGCCCGCGCAGACUCACCCGUCCUGGGUUUACAAGGAAACACUUGUACAAAUUACAGCAACCGGCACGCCUGUGGGUCCCCGGUAGCAAUUUGUGAAAUACGCCAGCAGGCUUCGUGUUGGGGUCAAUAAUAAAAGAACAACCCGACACGCAGCUUAAGCUUGAGAAACGGAGCUGCGGGGUAGAACGGGAACGCACCACGAGAUGUGAUGUGAUAGACUCGGACAGGCCCUAACCCUGCAAGCGGCACCGUGCUACGGGCGCGCUUCUGUGAGCUGCAUUUGAACUGAAAAGCGUUUUGUAUCCGCUGACCCCAAAACGUCAACGCGCGUCCUCAAGGCGUGCAGUCCUGCCGGGCGUGCGGCACGCGGCAUGCUGGACGGGAGGCUGAGGAGGGCCAGGGUGACCGCCAGCCAAGAGGGUGCGAACCACGGGGGCACCCGUAACUGUGUGCAGCAAGCACACUGGCAUCUGUUCCCUACUGUGUACACAGUGACCACAGGGGCAUUCACAACCGACUGUAUACAGCAAGCACACUGGCAUCUGGAACCAACUGGAUACAUAUUAACCACACUGGCAUCCGUAAACAACUGUAUACAACCCCAGUGGCAUUCACAACCGACUGUAUACAGUGACCACACUGGAAUCUGUAACCGACUAUGCAGUAACCAGAUGGAAUGUGGAACCGACUGUACAGUAACCACACUGGCAUCUGUAGCUGACUGUACACAUGGUAACCACACUGGUGUCCACAACCGACUGGAUACACUAACCAUACAAAACCCACAAUUGAAUGAAUACAGUGAUCACACUGGCAUUAACCGACUGUAUACAUAGUAACCACACUGGCAUUCAUAAACAACUGUAUACAACAAUCACAGUGGCAUCCGUAACCGACUGUAUGCCCAGUAACCACCCUGGCAUCCACAAUCAGCUGUAUACUGUAACCGCAGUGGGAUCCACAAUCAACGGUAUACAGUAACCACACUGGCAUCCGUAACCAACUGCAUACAGUAAAUACAGUGGCAUCUGAAACCGACUGUAUACACAGUAACCACACUGCCAUCAGUAACCAACUAUAUACAGUAACCAUACUGGCGUCUGUAACCGGCUGAACGUAGGAACCACGCUGGCAACCACAACCAACUGCAUACGCAUUAACCACAUGACAUGCACAACCAACUGUAUACACUAACCACACUGGCAUCCAUAAUCAAGUUUAUAUUAACCACACUGGCAUCGGUGAUCAACUGCAUACAGUAAGCACAAUGCAUCCACUACCUACUGUAUACAGUAACCACACUGGCAGUACUCAGGAACCACACUGGCAUUUGUAACCAACUGUAUACACAGUAACCACCCUGGCAUCCGUAACCGACUGCAUACAGUAACCAAAGUGGCAUCCACAACCGACUGUAUACAGUACCCACGAUGCCCCUCCCUGAUCCUGUGGGAGCGCCCACUGAGACAGGCUGGGACCCAGGACCUGUUACUGCAGCGCCUGCCCCCGGGCAAACCUCUUCUCCAGCAACAGGCGUAAAGAAACGAUAAAGGACCAAAAUUAACCCCGUGUGUCUACAGUUGGGGCAGGUUAUGAACAACAGAGAAAAAGUCCAAACGCAGCUGCCACUUCUGAGCAAAAGCAGGUGCCAGGUGUGCUCCCUGCACACAGCACCACCAAGGGGGUGAGCCGCCCCUCCUGCCCGACCCGACACGCCCCCACCCUCACCCCAUUUGAGGGUCCUGCUCACCCCCUCCCUCCCCGAGCACCCCCCAAGGGCCCCUGUUUCUUGCUCUCACUCCUUCUGCUGCAGGACAAGUCCCAGCAAAGCCUCCCCUGAACUCCUCGUCUGGCCUCAUCCAUUUCCACGGAGUAAGGGGUCCAAGGACCCAGGUCAGGAACACAGUGACCUCCUGCCUGUGGGCAUGCAUGGCUCCAGGGCAGGACCAUUGCCAGCUCCCUCUCUGCCCCUGCAAGCUGUAAUAAAAUAAUGCACCAAAUCCUCAGUAAAGUCUCUGGGAAGACGCCCCUUUGCUGUCUGCGCACUGUAUCGUAACGACCGAGGACCCCUCAACGACCUUUUAUUCCACCAACCAAUGCCCGGAGAAGGGGCAUUCUGUUCACUGGCAAGAAACAAAGCUUUGCACACAAUUUCGGGUGACCCAUGGGACACCGGAGUCCGCUUCAGGAGCCCAGGGUGGCAGAAUGAAAUCACCUUGUAUGUUUUUUAAGCCUGUUUCUUGAACCAGGAACUCUGCAGCUGGACCUUCUGCCAGGAGAAACACGGUCUUCUGGAGACCUUUUCCACCCCGGAGGGAGGAAAAAGCCGUCUCACCCGGGGAGUACUUCUGCCUGACCUCGGCCAGUGUCCUCGAGGACUCAGGGAGGCUCCAGGCCCCGAAACGGGGCGGCCCUGUGUCUGCAGGGCGCGCCCAGCACUGCAGAGCUUGUCACGUGGGGCCCGCGAGUUCCGCCCGAGGGCUCUGACGGGUUUUCCCCCUCCCAGCCCCUUCCGAUCACUCACUCUUAUAAAACAAAACAUGUGAUGUGUUCCACUGGAACAGACCCUGUUACGCGGUAUUUUAGCUCACUUAGCCUUUAACCACUAACAGUGUGACUCAUUCCCUUCUUGAUUUUAAAAUCCCACUAGAUAAAGCCCCACUCUCAUUUUUCGGGUCCUACCAGGCAAAAAAGAUGUGGGGUUUUUUUUAUUAUUUAUUAUUAUUAUUGGGCAAGGCGGGGGGCGGGAUCCAGUGCCCGACACUCGGUAGUAUUUUAACGGUGACUGACAGUCUUUCUGCAGCCGGGGAAGGUUGCACUCACGAUGGAUUCGUAAGCCAAAUGCCUCUCAUUCUAUGUUGAAAAGAUGCAUAUUGAACACAGAAGUGGAGUGUUUCUACCCGAAGAGAAAUGAGGGGCAGGAAACCCCAAACUCCUCGGUGUUUGCACGCACAGAAGACAAAUCAACACAAAAACCAAGCAUACUUCUGAGACGCGGCCACUGGGGGACGACAACCCUGAUCUCAGGCAGAGGGUAAAACCGUAAGAGGAAAAAAAAUCAAGGACGAAGUGGAGAAAAAGUACAGAUACUGAUGGAAAAAAAAAAGAACAUAGUAGGGAUGGGUGGGAACUAAGAAAAAGGAAGAAAGACCAGUCUCUUCAAAGAACAAAUGGGAAAAAUUAAACUCUAUUGAUUAAAAACAAAAGCCCCCUCCUGUUUCAAAGGGUAAAAGACACGUUGUCUCUGGGAGCGUGGGGUCGGGGGGCGAUCCGCUCUCCGCGCGCGAGGACGGGGAGCGCACGACGCGCGGACGCUGUAGCGUGGCCGGAGCCGGGGGGGGGGGGG